ensembl:lncRNA
UGAUGGAAGCAGAUGGUGGAAGAUUAUGGAGGACACUACCUCUUAAAAUCAUGGGAAGCAGUAGAAGGUUGAAGAAGUGUUGAUGAGAGACCCAACUAUAAUAGGCAUCCAUCCUCAGAGCAUUGAAGGAUGAAAGUAGGAUAAUGAGAUCAAAGAUGGAAAAUAUCUGCAAUUAUCUUGAUUAAUAAACUUUUCCCACCAUCAAGGCAGCAAAGCUAUCACAUGUGGACUUUUAAGCGCACAUGAAGAAGUAAAAAUGGCAACUGAAGAUGAGAAAAUCAGUUAGGAGGUAACGUCAUUAAAAGGGCACUAAGACUUAUUCUCAAGGUAGCUGAAAGGGAAGAUGCUAACGCAUGGAAAAAUAGCUCAGACUUUAUUACUAAAAAGAAGAGAAAGAGGACCUAGAGGGUAUCUGCAACUACUUUCCCUGCCUAUAUAAAAUUUUCUAAGAAUAAUCUACACACACCGAGUGCAUACUUAAGUUAUUAGAAAUCAGCAAGCGGCCUUUCACAAUUGAAAUUCCACAAAGUAUUUUGACUAUCAUAUAACUGACUGAGAGUAUGAGAUUCCACUGUGCUUACUGUCUAUCAAAUAAAACAAGCAUUUGAGUCGGUAGAGCAAACCACCACCUUAAAAAAAAAAUCUCCUCUGAUUUGGGUUCUCUGCAUAUGUCAAUGGUAUACACUGUCCCCUAAAACAUGAAACACAACCUUGUUCCAAGACCCACUACUUAGAAAUCUAUUAAGCAAGGCAGAAACUAGAAUAUGUGUGCUCGCCAGAUCUCUCUGCUCCCGUCCUGGAGAAGAUCCGAUGCGGGGUCCAGAUGGCGGAGGGACUCUCUAGAGAUGCUGAUGCGCGCCAGAAGCUUCUGUGGCAUGGAAUGACGCUCCGCCGGCCGCUUCAAGACUCCAGAACGCUGCAGGAUGGAUAGAGCCUCGUAAACGAUAUCCGCAAAUUUCUUUGAAGCGUUGGGUCUAACACUCCAUAGCAGGAAAAAAAAAACAAAUGGAGGAAGACUGUAUCGCCCAGCAGAUGAAAUGUAUUUGAAUGGACAGUAUACGGAACCUAUCCAUCAGUAGAUAUCCAGGGAUGAUGAAUCAGGUCCCAGACCGCACACGAGGAAGAGAACAAGUGAAAUUGCUUCUAUGCAACUGCAGAGUUCUUUGAACGAGCCCAAGCUUCUCUUUCAAAGGAGUUAAAUCGGUCCUAAUUAUUGAAUAUGUCUGGGGAUGUGCUGCUGAGAAGUGAAACAUGAUAAUCUCCACAGAAGCCAUGUCCAAGACCAUCCAGGGGAUAACGGAGAGGCUCUUGGGGAGCCUGAGCAGGGUCCGGGCAAGGAAUUACGGAGCGGGGUAUCAUCAAGAGACGUACGAUUUCAAAAGAGAAGUCUUGUCACGUGCCGAGAGCAAGAGACAACUCCAACACUAUCCUCUUGCUGUCCAAAGAUCCCAAGGAAGGACAUUUGACUACCGUAUGGACUCUCCCAGUUCUGAGAACCUUGAAUGCUGCUUCUAAAGUCCUUAGGGAAGACAUGUUGGAAGAAAUGGCCAUACUGCUGAGAUGACAGAUCCCGGAGUAGAAGUGCUGUGCAUCACAAGCAAUAAAACGCCGGAGAUGAGGGCCUGAGCCAGCUCCCCCUUCUCUUCAAGACCAGGCAAACGUUUCUGCAAAUCUUGUAGCCCGUGGCCUCCGAGAAGAAGACGGACGAUCUCUGCGAGAUGUCGGUUAUGAAUUAGCAAACAAAGCUCUCGGAAGAGCUGCAAGGGAAGAAUUGUUGACUUCAAUGAACUUAAGGUGAAGGAAAGAGGUGGGAAGCAGUGGCACCAGAAGUCCCAGGAUCUCACGUCCCUGUCAUAGCCUCCACGUGGGACCAAAGCGAGUGCUGGUGAGACCCCUAAGGCACUGUUGUUAUUUGCAAACUGCUUCAAGUAGUGCCUGAGGAACAGUCUGUGAAGGCUGGCCUUGGGUGUCCACCAGAGUUCAGUUAUGGCCCUGUUGAUGAUUCCUGAAAAUGAUGCCAAGAGGCAGGGGAAAUCUUGGCCCCUGAUUCUGUCCUUUUGUAAAUGCCACGGUGCCCAAAGUACUUGGAGGGCAGAAGGGGGUUGUCACCAGUGGUUACGAGUGUAAAGAAUUCACUGAGAUCUUCCAUGGACAAGCGGCUUCUACGUAGCCCAGCUAGGAAGGGGCUUGGUUCCAUGGAGGCUUAAAACGCAUGGGACUUAAACAAUCCAUACCACAAUCAAUAAUACAGAGCCAUUUCUCAUUGCUUUUUCCUUUCCACUUACUUGGCAAUGUCUGGGAAACUGGGAAUCUCUGCUCAAGUGUGACGUCUGCAACAGCUGUCAGCUCAUCAGCUAGGCUACAAGUGCACACUUAAGUCUUUUGACACUUUAUUGAAUGCACAGCAAGAUGAACUGUCUCUGAUGUCAUUGUACACGGGAGAGGGAGGAGGGCAGGGGAGUGGGAACCUGUACAACUUUCCUUUGGAGGCGAAGAUUCGAGCCCCUCUGGUCCUAUUUCUUCUUGGUGAAAUUAACCCAUAUUCUGCCGGUUGCCAUAACCCCGUGGAUGUGUGUCCUUCCAGUCGUCCCAAUUACGCUUUUUGAGUAAUGACUCUUCAUCAUCCUCUUCUGACUUUGUUUCCUGAUCCUCAUCUUGAUC